AAUCAACGCCGGCGGCGUGCCUCAGACAUGCAAGUCGAACGAUUAAGACUCCCUUCGGGGAGUGCAUAAAGUGGCGCACGGGUGAGUAACACGUAAGUAAUCUACCUUUGAGUGGGGAAUAACAACCGGAAACGGUUGCUAAUACCGCAUAACGCAGCGGCACCGCAGGUGACAGUUGUUAAAGGAGCAAUCCGCUUGAAGAGGAGCUUGCGGCAGAUUAGCUAGUUGGUAAGGUAAUGGCUUACCAAGGCUACGAUCUGUAUCCGGUCUAAGAGGACGGUCGGACACACUGACACUGAAUAACGGGUCAGACUCCUACGGGAGGCAGCAGUCGGGAAUUUUGGGCAAUGGGCGAAAGCCUGACCCAGCAACGCCGCGUGAAGGAUGAAGUAUUUCGGUAUGUAAACUUCGAAAGAAUGGGAAGAAUAAAUGACGGUACCAUUUAUAAGGUCCGGCUACUACGUGCCAGCCGCCGCGGUAACAC
rnacentral:rRNA from 1 species